UGCAUGUCUCAGUGCAAGCCACAUUAAGGUGAAACCGCGAAUGGCUCAUUAAAUCAGUUAUGGUUCCUUAGAUUGUACCCACAUUACUUGGAUAACUGUGGUAAUUCUAGAGCUAAUACAUGCAAACAGAGCCCUGACCAGAAAUGGAAAGGGCGCUUUUAUUAGAUCAAAACCAAUCGGUCGGCUCGUCCGGUCCGUUUGCCUUGGUGACUCUGAAUAACUUUUUUCUGAUCGCAUGGUCCUCGUACCGGCGACGCAUCUUUCAAAUGUCUGCCUUAUCAACUUACGAUGGUAGGUUCUGCGCCUACCAUGGUUGUAACGGGUAACGGGGAAUCAGGGUUCGAUUCCGGAGAGGGAGCCUGAGAAACGGCUACCACAUCCAAGGAAGGCAGCAGGCGCGCAAAUUACCCACUCCCGGCACGGGGAGGUAGUGACGAAAAAUAACGAUACGGGACUCAUCCGAGGCCCCGUAAUCGGAAUGAGGACACUUUAAAUCCUUUAACGAGUAUCC
rnacentral:rRNA from 1 species